rnacentral:rRNA from 1 species
UAUGUGAUCGUCUCUCGCAUAUCAAUAAGCGGAGGAAAAGAAACUAACAAGGAUUCCCCUAGUAACGGCGAGUGAAGCGGGAAGAGCUCAAAUUUGAAAUCUUAAAGGGUUUCCCUUUACGAAUUGUAGUUUAAAGAAGUGUUUUCUGUUGAGGUUUUGGUAAAAGUUCUUUGGAAUAGGACAUCAUAGAGGGUGAGAAUCCCGUAUUUGACCUUUACUUUCAACUUUGUGAUACACUUUCAAAGAGUCGGAUUGUUUGGGAAUGCAGUCCAAAAUGGGUGGUAAAUUUCAUCUAAAGCUAAAUAUUGGCGAGAGACCGAUAGCGAACAAGUACCGUGAGGGAAAGAUGAAAAGAACUUUGAAAAGAGAGUUAAACAGUACGUGAAAUUGUCAAAAGGGAAGCGUUUGACACCAGUGUUGUUUUUCUGAAAAUCAAUUAAAGAACUGUUUAUGCUAAGCUUGUUUAGACUUUAUCAGCUAAUCUGUUUAGUUUUGAGCUUUUCUUUAAUGCACUUUUCAGUUAACAAGUCAACAUCAAUUUCUUUUGCUGUAAAAAAGCUUGAGGAAGGUGGCUUGAGAUUCGUCUUAAGUGUUUAUAGCCUCUUGCCUAUGCAGUCGGAGAGAUUGAGGUCUGCAGCGUAGAUCCUUCGGGGCUAAAUGCAUUUGUGCUAAGUUAUAGCAUUUUAUAGACAACUUGUUGACUAUGAUUUGUCUUGUAGCUUACUCGCUUAUGUUAUUUUACCUACGCUUAGGAUGUUGAAUCUGUGCGAGACUAC